AAAGCGUGCGCAGGCGGUUAUAUAAGACAGAUGUGAAAUCCCCGGGCUCAACCUGGGAACUGCAUUUGUGACUGCAUGGCUAGAGUACGGUAGAGGGGGAUGGAAUUCCGCGUGUAGCAGUGAAAUGCGUAGAUAUGCGGAGGAACACCGAUGGCGAAGGCAAUCCCCUGGACCUGUACUGACGCUCAUGCACGAAAGCGUGGGGAGCAAACAGGAUUAGAUACCCUAGU
rnacentral:rRNA from 1 species